UAAUUUGCUUGGUUUCUUCAAAGUACAUGAGUACUUAUUAUACAAGGUUUGCAACAUCAACCUCCUUAUAUUCUGUUUACUUGUUUACCAUGGCCUCUUUGAUUACAUGCAACAGGUUACAUAUUUCUAAAAAAUUUAAAACAUAAUAAUGUAUAGCAUAAAUGGCUAGACAUGUCGUCUUCUAUAUCUUUAGUCUUUAAGCUAAUUGGAGAAAUAGAAAAUGAGAUGAGAUAUUAAUAUCACAUGAUUUUCAAUUUUUCAUAUACUCUCAACAAAAAUAUUAUGUAUAGAUAAAAAAAAAUUAACGCAAUCAUCAAAUUACUAUCUAUAUAUUUGUAUAUAUUUAUAUGUAUUAUUUUAUAUAUUUUUAAUGCAUAUUUGGUAUAUUUUAACACAUAUUUUACAUAAAUAAUAUUUUUAAAUUUUUAAUUAUUAUAUCAUUUAUCCUCAUAGCCCCAAGAUCAAUCUUAAGAAACAUAAUCAGUUUUUUCCUCUUUUUUCCAUUUUCUUUUAUCACAUGUUUAUAUACAUCAUUGUAAAAUAGUGAGUCAUCAUAAUUUUAUUAGCUAUUAGGAAUCUUAUAGAAUUUUAAAAGAUUUGAUGUGUUGUAGAUUUCACACAAGUUUAUAUAUAUUGCAUCAUUAUCCAGUUUCUGUUAUUACUGUAGACAAAAUUACAAAAAACCUUAUUGUGGUUGGAGGGCUUUGCUGUUUUGUGUUCCCGACUAAAAGGUAGUCUAGAGGUAAAGGAGAUCACAUCUCAUACCUAUUAUGGCAUGCAUCUAUUUCUAACUGUCUCAAAUACAUUAAUUUUAAUAUAAAAUUUAACUAUCUGCUGGUUUUGGAAAAUAUAAUAUAUUUCGCACAAAAUAAUGAUGCUCUUAAAAAAGUGUCAUAUAUAUGCAGAGCGGGGAAUUUAAAAAAGAAAACACUGUGCAAUUUUGUUAUAUAAAACGCGACACAUUGCCAACUUAUUAACUAUAGCUUGAUCGAUUCCACAUGCAGGGUAACGGCGACUAUUGUCGUUGACUAAUUGAGGAAUCAAAGUCAAUUUUAGGAUAUUCCCUAGAUUGAUGAUGCCCAAUAGUUAGGCUGAGAGUAAUAUCAACGAAUGAAAAACCUUUUUUUCUUACAAAAACUAUUAGAGAGUGAGACCAAAGUGACCGAAAGUGUUUUAUAUUAUUGCAACUCCAUGCACACUAGGGCAUAAAUUAGAUGGAUGAGAUUAAAUGAAAGGGCAUAAAUUCUGAUAGUACUUACUAGGAUAUGCAAGUCACUCAAAGAUAAGAAUGUAGUAUUGGGCAUAAAAGAACGUAAUCUUGGUAUAUAAGUAUAUAAAGUGUAGCAUUAUUAAUCCUAUGAUCGAAUGUUGUAAGGAUAUAGGAUGUGGGGAAUAUAUCAAUCUAGCUGUGGAGUAGGGUAUUGUAGUGCGACUUUAACAGAUACAGAUACUUCAUACAUAAUCGAAGCACUUAGCACGUAAUAUUCCCACGAGAUUAGGGUGAAAAUAACUGAAAAGAGAACCGAAAGAAGGUCAGGCAUAUAUACCUGAUGGAUAAGGGCUCUUAAUUUUAUUUUAACUUUUUUUUAAUAAUUAAUUAUUACAUUGAAUAUUCACAUAACUUUAUGAAAAUAACAAAAAUAAUAAAAAUUAUUUAAUGAUUCGUCUU
rnacentral:lncRNA from 1 species